GAGGGCGAAGCGAAGCGGCUGGUUACCAGGUAAAUCCGGUAACCUUAAGGCUAGAGCGUGACAGGUAAGCGAAAUCUAAGGAAAGUAGCGAAGCACAUGAUGACGGCUUCCAGGAAAAGCUUCUGGCAAUGCAUAUGCGGCCCGUACCAAAACCGACACAGGUGGGCAGGGAGAGAAUCCCGAGGUGAGCGAGAGAACUGUUGCCAAGGAACUCGGCAAAAUGACUCCGUAAGUUAGCGAGAAGGAGUGCUUAAGCAAUUAAGCCGCAGUGAAGAGGCCCAAGCGACUGUUUAACUAAAACACAGCUCUCUGUGAAGUCGCAAGACGAAGUAUAGGGGGUGACACCUGCCCGGUGCUGGAAGGUUAAGAGGAUCUGUUAAGAGCGAUCUGAAGCAGUGAUCCGAAGCCCCAGUGAACGGCGGCCGUAACAAUAACGGUCCUAAGGUAGCGAAAUUCCUUGUCAGGUAAGAUCUGACCCGCACGAAAGGUGUAACGAUUUGGGCGCUGUCUCGGCAGCAGACUCGGUGAAAUCUUAGUACCUGUGAAAAUGCAGGUUACCCGCAACUAGACGGAAAGACCCCAUGGAGCUUUACUGCAGCCUGAUAUUGAAUUCUGGUCAUACAUGUACAGGAUAGGUGGGAGACAAAGAGACGUGCACGCCAGUGUACGAGGAGUCGACGUUGGGAUACCACUCUUGUGUGACCGGGGUUCUAACCUGGUAUCGAGAACAGGUACGGGGAGAGUGUCAGGUGGGCAGUUUGACUGGGGCGGUCGCCUCCCAAAGAGUAGCGGAGGCGCCCAAAGGUACGCUCAGAUUGGAUGGAAACCAAUCGACGAGUGCAAUUGCAGAAGCGUGCUUGACUGUGAGACAAACAAGUCGAACAGGGACGAAAGUCGGGAAUAGUGAUCCGGCGGUGCCGAAUGGAAGGGCCGUCGCUCAACGGAUAAAAGCUACCCUGGGGAUAACAGGCUGAUCUCGCCCAAGAGUUCACAUCGACGGCGAGGUUUGGCACCUCGAUGUCGGCUCAUCGCAUCCUGGAGCUGGAUUCGGUUCCAAGGGUUGGGCUGUCCGCCCAUUAAAGCGGUACGCGAGCUGGGUUCAGAACGUCGUGAGACAGUUCGGUCCCUAUCUGUUGUGGGCGAAGGAGAUCUGCGGAGAGCUGUCCUCAGUACGAGAGGACCGGGAUGGACCUACCGCUGGUGCACCGGUUGUUCCGCCAGGGGCAUAGCCGGGUAGCUAAGUAGGGAAAGGAUAAGCGCUGAAAGCAUCUAAGCACGAAGCCUACUCCAAGAUGAGAUCUCCCAUUCGCAAGAAGUAAGACCCCUUAAAGACGAUAAGGUAGAUAGGCCAGGGAUGGAAGUGCAGUGAUGUACGGAGUUGACUGGUACUAAUCGGUCGAGGACUCA
rnacentral:rRNA from 1 species